UACGGAGGAUGCAAGCGUUAUCCGGAAUGAUUGGGCGUAAAGGGUCCGCAGGUGGCAGUGUAAGUCUGCUGUCAAAGAAUGAGGCUUAACCUCAUCAAGGCAGUGGAAACUACACAGCUAGAGUACGGUCGGGGUAGAAGGAAUUCCUGGUGUAGCGGUGAAAUGCGUAGAUAUCCGAAAGAACACCGGUGGCGAAGGCGGCCUGCUGGGCUACUGCUGACACUGAUGCGCGACAGCGUGGGGAGCAAGCAGG
rnacentral:rRNA from 1 species